CCUUGAUCUCUCGGCGGGUGGCUUAGCUGUAUCCUUGGCUUGUGGAGGUCUCCUGGGAAGCAGGAGAAGAAAUUUCAUUGCUUUGGAAGCGAGAGGCUGCUGAAUAGAAUUUCCUCUCAUAAAUAAGGCAUUGUCCUAGAAAUCUGGUCUUCUUUAUCCCACUAUGUUCAGUUGUUCAGCUACUCUGCUAAUUGUUGGAAUUGGCAGUUUUCAAAGAAAUCAACAUGAAGAGCUCUGCAAAGUAAAAUUGGGCAUUUGGUUAUAAAAUCUGGUAUAAAGCCAUUACAGUGCACUAUUGGGAAAAUCAGCGCAGCUUCCAACUUCAUGAGCCAUUAACAAAGCGUAGACUCUAAACACACAGACAUAUCUCUUGACAAAGCAUAAUGUUAUAGGUGAUUUUCUGGCUGAUUUCAAUUAAGUGCCUAUAUUUUUAAAUUAUUUUAAAAAUC
rnacentral:lncRNA from 1 species